UCCGUACGAUCCAUACGAUCAACACAGUAUUUCGUAUCGCAGUCGUACUUGGACAGGUUAGGACACAGUCGGUCUGAGGAUUUAUCGAUUAAUUCACAAGUUUCUAGAGGAUAUGAAAUCGCCAGCGGUAUAUAGAGAGACAUAUUGACACUGUCUCUGGUUAUAGUAAUCGGAAUGGCUGAAUACGCCGGAAGCUAGGCUGAUACGUCGAUGUGAGCAUCCUAGUGAAAAUCUCGAAAUGAAAAUUUUAUCGACGCCUGUCGUAGAUUCGCCAUGUCGCUUAACAGCGGCUCACGCGUCUGGCUACAGAAUAUUCACCAUUGCUUUAUGAAUUCGACGCAGGUGUUUCGCAUAAAUUUUGGACAGCGGAACCAGGAACAGGCUAUGCGAGCUUUCUCGAACUCCAAUGGAAGCGAAAGCCAGCAACGGUCUCAGCUUAUUUAAGCAGAGUUUAAGCAAGCCCUAUCCCACUGAAUCUCUGACCAUCUGCAGCCUCGGGCUAGUUUCAAUGAUCAGCCGUACCACGUGAUCGGACUAAUUUUCCAUGUACAUAUCUAAAUGUAACUGGAGAUUCUAUAUGCUCAGCGCCCCAGCGUCCCUGCAUCUCGAUGACGUACCCAUAAUUUUGAUUACAACUUGUACGUGAACGGGGUCAAAUACGAGUUGUAAGGGCUAGUGGCUCUGCAUUCAAUACAUGAAGACAGACAAUAUGGCACUUGGCUACUUGCUAGUGCGAUUGUAACAGUCCUACAGUAUGUCACAUGUCACACAUCGUGCCGUCGCAUGUCGGAUGUCACAGCAUCACGCUCUACGCGUCUCCCCUCAUCCUCUUGACGCAGACCUGGAGGACCCACUGCCCAACCGACAGUUUACUUCAUUUCUGCUUGACACGUGUUUUUUCCGUAGUUCCUUUGGAAGCCAUUUUUAUUUCCGACUGCACCCGCAUCUGUGUACUCGCAUCCCUCUUUUCAAGAGGGAUGGAAAAUGGCGCCAGGAAGAAAACGUGUUUCCGCAUAAAAUGCUGACAACGACAACAUCCACCGGAAGACUGAUUUACUUGGAAAGGAUACGAGUGGGGGAGGUGGUUCAGGGGGACAGGGAUAGGGGUAGGGGGAUAUACUAAUGCUAUUGUUCCUUUUUUUUUUCUUUUUGAACAGAUUAUGCAAUCCGGACAGAGACGCACAUAAAAACGGAUGCAUAAGGAGAUUGCACGAAUAUCGUUGAAUUAUUUUUCAGUGAAAGUUGAUAAAUGUUUUGUUUUUCAUCAGAAAAAUGCAAACAGCACUUUUCUCCCGGAGGAUAAAUUUAUCAUGGUUAAAUUCCUCGAGAAUUUAUCCGUUGCUCGACGCUUUACAAAACGCCGGAAUGAAAAUCAACUAUGCAUCAACACAUUUGAGUUUUAUGUGAAAAAUGAAAGAAUUCCAGAGCGGGCUAUCAUCUGGGGCUACCGCAUAUACGUGAAAUGGUGGAUCAGACUCGUUAUCUCUGGUAAACGGUCCGCUGGACUUUACACACGGACGCCCUUAUACACCUACGGGAUAUCGUUGAUCGUACAAAAUUCCCAGGUGAUCGCUGGCAGUGUAACAGGGGCUAAGGGUGGCUUCCAUCUUUAUUCUCUUCGCGGGAAAAGUGUGAAGAGGAAGAGAGAGGAAGUUGAGGUGGUCGAUACGCCGAGAGACAAACGAUCGAGGUAGCGAG